rnacentral:lncRNA from 1 species
UACAUUCUUGACCUUCCUUCUUUUGGUGUUACCUUUUCUGUCUAGCUCGUUCUCUUAGUCUAAAGCCAAAACUACUCCUUACUGGCCAACCAAAAGACAGGAUACGCGAAGGGGCCUAUUAGCCACCAAUAGUAGAGAGUGGGGGCGGUAGGCAUGCUAGCGUAGGCUUCACCCCCUGACUCUUUCUGCUCCCGGGCAGUAUCUUGCCAGUCGAUGGUUGUUUUCGGCGAUGUUAUGACUAUAGCUUCCGUCCUGUCUGGGUGGUGCCUUUUCUCAUGAAGAAAGGAGAAUGAAAUUUCCCCUCGAUCAGCUAAUAGGGGGCACGGAUCGUUAGCUCCUGCACACACACGUGGUACUGACUUGGCCUAGGCCUCACAUCGAUCGUCCUGUCCACUGAACUCAUCAAUCAACCUUGACUCUCACUACGUACUCCAUCUCUAUCUAUUAGAAGUUUCAGGCUGAGGUGAGCUACUCUAGUAUUAACUCUAAUUCACUGGCUUGAUUCCCUCACUUCCUUUAAGUCGGUCGGUAAUGGUUGACUUUCUCUUUGGGCUAUCGUAGAGGCAUGCCCACCCCACGGUCCGUCCAUUUGCUAUCCUCUAUCUAACUCGGGCUAAGUAGUGGUAGUGAAAGUCCAUCUCCUGACUAAAUAUAUACCUUCCCCGCUCAGGAAAGUCAGAAGGAAAGGCAUAAAGCAAGUACUGCGAACCCCUUUAAGCACGAAAUUAGACAGUUGGGAUUGCGCUUUCACCCAUGAUGGGAUUCUUUGGGCUAGGAUGCUAAAGAGAUGGCUAUGAGUUAGCCUGUAGUAGCUUGACAGUAGGAAGAGUCUAAAGGACUAACCGCAGCUAUUGAAUCAACUAUUCUUAUUCAAGCUUUCUUGACG